GCAGUGACAGCUUUUGAAAUGGAUGGAAGUACCUCAUGACGUUUUGGAAAAAUGUGACAAUAUUGUCACGUUACUUGGAGAGAUGUGGCUGGAAGUAUGAGUGAUGUCUGAAACAUCUGACCCUGAGCUGAAAUAAAGAACAAUUGAGACUUAUGUACAAGCAUUCGAGCCUCAGGUACACAGACGUGUGAGAGACUCCUAGAUAAAGUGUCUGAGGAACAAGAACUAUUUUCACGUGGGAAAGGAAGAGGUUGCAUGAAUCAUGGUAAACUUCCAACUUAGAUUUUACAGUAGUGAGGGUUGAGACAGUAGAGAUACCAUCUAGAAGUUGAUUUUUUUUUUUUGAAACACAUAUCUGUGCAAAUGUUAUAUUUCGGAAAAAAAAAAAAAAAAGUGACCAAAGACAGAAUAAACCACUCUGUUUAGCAAAACAGCUGCAUGAUCUGCUAAACCCAGUCUUGUGAUGACAAGCCACAUGAAAUCUGUGCAGAUAAGUCAUCACCAGUGGCUAGUUUCCCCUGUGUCUCACUGACAAGGGGAGGGGAGGAGGAGUUUGUGUAAUUAAUAGGCAAGGGAAAAGUAGGGGACACUUUUUAAAGUCAUCCCUGAUUACUCUCAAGUGGGUAUUGAUCGAAUGACAUCAGAUAUGCUUUUAUAUUCGUAUUCCUCUGAUUAGAGGAAUUUGGACAUGAUCCAAGCAGAAGUAGAGGAGCUGCUAGGUGGUCCAGUGGUAAAGCAUCCCACCCACCACAGCAUCCUUAGCUUAGGGAGGAGGAGGUGAGACAGGGGGAGACCCUCUGCUGAGAUGAGCCCCUGCACUGCCAGUGGGCAUAGAGAACAGACUCGUCCAGCCUGGGGAUUGAAACUCCACAAAGUCGAGCACCAGAUGGCAGAAGAUACAGUGGUUUACGUGUUUUGGACAGAGGGUAGGUAAAAAAAGAUUGCCUGGCAUGAAACUUUGCUAAGGGCUUGACUUUGUUUAUUUUUCAUGGGGUUUAGAUUGGUACAUAGAGACUACAAAAAGUUAAUGACAUUGAAGAGCUUUUAUAUUGUAGGUCAUUUUUGGCCUGUGUAAAAUGAUUAGAUCUUUUACAAUAUAAUUCCACUUUACAGAAAGAGAACGUGAACAUGUAGAAGGAUGAACUUAGGAACACUUUGGAUAUCUUCUCUAGCCAAGUUACACUCACAUUGAGGGAAAAUCAAAGGUUAGCAAAACUAAAGGCAAUAAAGAAGUUUUUAUCAUCA
rnacentral:lncRNA from 1 species